rnacentral:lncRNA from 1 species
GAGCAAGUCCAAUAGGUGUGCUAAAUCAAGUCUUAAAUCCAAAAAUAGGGAAUAUGGGAUAAAAUUGCACUCCAACACUAUGCUAAUGAUGUGCUAAAUCACUAGCACAAGCAUCCCCUUCCCUAUUUUUAGAAUAUGCUAGCCACUUCUAAACUAUUUUUAUCAUUAAAAUAUUCAUUUCCCUCUCUCCUCCACAUCAUUUCCCUCUCUCUUUUUUCCUC